rnacentral:misc_RNA from 1 species
UUUCCGUAGGUGAACCUGCGGAAGGAUCAUUAUUGAAUAAACCUGAUGUGGUUGUAGCUGGCCCUUUCGGGAGCAUGUGCACACCCGUCGUCUUUAUCUUUCCACCUGUGCACCUUUUGUAGACCUGGACGUAACACUUUCCGAGGCAACUCGGUCGGGAGGAAUGCUGUCAGCUUUCCUUGAAUGUCCAGGCCUAUGUUUUCAUAUACCCCAAAGAAUGUAACAGAAUGUAUUAUUGGGCCUUGUGCCUAUAAACUAUAUACAACUUUCAGCAACGGAUCUCUUGGCUCUC